rnacentral:sRNA from 1 species
UGGAGAAGUAAGGCAAGGAGAUGUAGUUGGUGAAAUAGGAGUCUUGUGUUAUAGGCCACAAUUGUUCACAGUCCGAACCAAGCGAUUGAGCCAAAUCUUACGUUUGAAUCGAACCACAUUUAUAAAUCUUACUCGUUCAAAUGUUGGAGAUGGAACAAUGAUCAUAAACAAUUUUCUUCAACAUUUACAUGAAAUUGGGGGUCCAAUUAUGGAAGAAAUUUUGGCAGAAGCAGAAGGAAUGUUGGCUAGGGGAAAAAUGGAUUUGCCAAUUAGUUUAUUGUUUGCAGCUAGUAGAGGUGAUGAUAUUAUGUUGAAUCAAUUGUUAAAGAAGGGUUCAGAUCCAAACGAACCGGACAAGAAUGGAAAGACAGCAUUGCAUAUUGCAGCUUGCAAAGGAAAUGACCACUGUGUACUUGUGCUUGUGGAACAUGGAGCAAAUCCCAACAUCAAAGACCUAGAAGGAAAUUCGCCACUGUGGGAAGCAAUUAAGGGUGGACAUGAAACUGUGACGAGAAUUCUUAUAGAAAAUGGUGCAGAAAUAACAUCUCAUGAUGUGGUUGAUUUUGCACGAUUGGCUAUUGAGAAAAACAACCUAGAAAUUGUGAAGGAAGUUAUUCAACGUAAAGGGGAAGUGACAGAAUGUGAUAGUAAAUUGACGACACUGCUCCAUGCUGCAGUGUGUGAGGGAAAUACUGAAAUAGUGAAGUACCUAAUAGAACUAGGAGCAGACAUUGAUAGACAAGAUGAUGUUGGGUUGACUGCAAGAUCCUUAGCAGAACAUCAAUGUCAUGAGGAAAUACUAAACAUUUUUAAGAAAAUUGGACACAACAAUAAAC